rnacentral:rRNA from 1 species
GAUGAACGCUGGCGGCGUGCCUAAUACAUGCAAGUCGAGCGAACGGACGAGAAGCUUGCUUCUCUGAUGUUAGCGGCGGACGGGCGAGUAACACGUGGAUAACCUACCUAUAAGACUGGGAUAACUUCGGGAAACCGGAGCUAAUACCGGAUAAUAUUUUGAACCGCAUGGUUCAAAAGUGAAAGACGGUCUUGCUGUCACUUAUAGAUGGAUCCGCGCUGCAUUAGCUAGUUGGUAAGGUAACGGCUUACCAAGGCAACGAUGCAUAGCCGACCUGAGAGGGUGAUCGGCCACACUGGAACUGAGACACGGUCCAGACUCCUACGGGAGGCAGCAGUAGGGAAUCUUCCGCAAUGGGCGAAAGCCUGACGGAGCAACGCCGCGUGAAUGAUGAAGGUCUUCGGAUCGUAAAACUCUGUUAUUAGGGAAGAACAUAUGUGUAAGUAACUGUGCACAUCUUGACGGUACCUAAUCAGAAAGCCACGGCUAACUACGUG